ensembl:lncRNA
UUUUUUUUUUUUUUUUUUUUUUUUUUAUAAAGUGUGCAUCUUUUCUGCUCAGUUAAGGUAAAGUACAAUUCUAGGUCAGGUGGAAUUCUUUUCCCCAUCAGGAUGCCAUGAUGAGCAUGGAGAGACUAUUUAACAUGUUGAUUUGGCCUCAUUAAUUACGGAAGAGUUAAUAUUACUUUUAUAAAAUUUAUUGUUGCAUGAGCCAUAAAUUGUGAAUUGGGUUUUUUUUUCUUUACAAUCUUUAUACCUUUGUGGAAACCUUUACAUUUCAAAUGUUUAGUUUAGUAGAGAUGCAUAGUUUAGUCAUAGUUUAAUCCUUAUUCUUUUGCUGUGGACUAAAAACCUUUGAAUAAUGCAGUCACAGUUUCAGGUCAGUUCAUUUCUGUAUUAGUUUGUCAGUGUUAUUUUGGAUGACUUCUAAAUGCAUUUUUUUUUUUUUUUGUGCUUUGGCUAUGAAAUGCUGCUACUCCUAAAGGAAAAAAAAUGUGUUGUAUUUUAGGAGGAAAAAACUUACAAAUGUUGCAUUUUUGUAGGUGGUUAUUCUACUACAUCUGGUAUGACAGCUUGUGUUUUUGAUAUGCAAUAAACAGUGAUAAUUGAUCAAUAGAAUAAAAGUUAUGGUGAAUUUGUGCUCUCAAAAAUAAUCUGGUGUGUUAAUAGGAGUAGUUAAUGCAUGGCAUGUAAUUUGACAACACUGAAUCAGUAGUUUUUGGUUAUUAAAACUCAUUAAAUAUAUAGGAUGUAAGAGAGAGAUAGUUUGUAUAUAUUGUAACCUUAGUUUUGACAGGUAUAGGUCAAAGGUCAAAAAGAUACACAUUCUAACUCUCUAUAUCUAGAUCAAAGGUCAUGAUCAUAAAAAUAUUUAUAGUUAUGUUAAAUCUGGAUCACAUCUAUUCGUUACCAUACAUGGUACGGCCAUGUGUUUUCCACCCCACACACAUUGCACAUGUUCUUUCUAACACUCUGUGGUAGGAAUAGAUGGGAACCCGAUUUAACAUAACUAUAUAUAUUUUU